rnacentral:lncRNA from 1 species
GAUAAUAAAGUCCUAAUAAACAUGUGAAAUCCGAGUCAAAAACACGGUGUAAUUCGGUGUGAUCAAAAUACUCCCACACUUAAACCUUUGCUUGUCCUCAAGCAAAACUCUUUAUAGUUUAUGCAAGAAAAUCAGUAUCAACUAGAGUUAAUUCGAGGAAAAAAGACUUACGAGUUCAUUAAAGGAAUGUAUCGAUAGGUACUAACGAAUCGAACUAAGGGUAUUAUAGUGACACUUCCCGCAAUUGCGGUCGUAGGCUUCGUUCCU